AAACCAACAGGGAUUGCCUCAGUAACGGCGAGUGAAGCGGCAAAAGCUCAAAUUUGAAAUCUAGCACCUUCGGUGUUCGAGUUGUAAUUUGAAGAUGGCAACCUUGGGUUUGGCUCUUGUCUAUGUUCCUUGGAACAGGACGUCAUAGAGGGUGAGAAUCCCGUCUGAUGAGAUGCCCAUUCCUUUGUAAGGUGCUAUCGAAGAGUCGAGUUGUUUGGGAAUGCAGCUCUAAGUGGGUGGUAAAUUCCAUCUAAAGCUAAAUAUUGGCGAGAGACCGAUAGCGAACAAGUACAGUGAUGGAAAGAUGAAAAGAACUUUGAAAAGAGAGUGAAAAAGUACGUGAAAUUGUUGAAAGGGAAGGGCAUUAGAUCAGACUUGGUGUUUUACGAUUAUCUUCUCUUCUUGAGUUGUGCACUCGUAUUUCACUGGGCCAGCAUCGAUUCGGAUGGUAAGAUAAUAGCAGUUGAAUGUGGCUCCACUUCGGUGGAGUGUUAUAGCUUCUGUUGAUAUUGCCUGUCUGGAUCGAGGGCUGCGUCUUUUGACUAGGAUGCUGGCGUAAUGAUCUAAUGCCGC
rnacentral:rRNA from 7 species